rnacentral:sRNA from 1 species
CAGAAAGGGCGGGUGGGAGCUGUAACUGCCCCGGCCGCGGGGCGCGCCCGCUCCCAAGUCGGCUUCCUUCCCGCCGGGGACGCUUUGCCUCGGGUCUCCCCAUUCUCCAGGUCCCCUGAACUGCACAGUCGGAGGCCGUGGGCGGCGGGCUCUGCCUCCGCCGAGGGACAGCCGGAUCGCCCCUCUGCUUCCCGCAACUGCCCUGAUCACCCCCCGUCCCAGCCCUUGAGUGAACGUCCUUCUGAGCGGCUUCCUGGGGUCCUCCCCACGUCCCAAAGGCCGGCAAGAUGGUGUCCUGGAUGAUCUGUCGCCUGGUGGUGCUGGUGUUUGGGAUGCUGUGUCCAGCUUAUGCUUCCUAUAAGGCUGUGAAGACCAAGAACAUUCGUGAAUAUGUGCGGUGGAUGAUGUACUGGAUUGUUUUUGCACUCUUCAUGGCAGCAGAGAUGGUUACAGACAUUUUUAUCUCCUGAUCAAGAUGGCCUUCGUGCUGUGGCUGCUCUCACCCUACACCAAGGGCGCCAGCCUGCUUUACCGCAAGUUUGUCCACCCGUCCCUGUCCCGCCAUGAGAAGGUACCCCAGGGGGAAGCGGGAAGGGAGGCUUAGGGGUGGGUGUGAGGGAAAGAGCCCUGGACCUGGGAUUUAGGAUGCUGGGGACACCGGGGUUCUAUCCCAGUCCUGCUGCUAUUGAGGGGCAGGACCUUGACAGGGCCCAGCCUACCUCAUCUUCUGGG